UACGGAGGGGGCAAGCGUUGUUCGGAAUUACUGGGCGUAAAGGGCGCGUAGGCGGCUCUUCAAGUCAGCCGUGAAAUCUCCAGGCUUAACCUGGAAGGGUCGGUUGAUACUGUCGAGCUAGAGUGUGGAAGAGGCAACUGGAAUUCCGUGUGUAGCGGUGAAAUGCGUAGAUAUACGGAGGAACACCUGCGGCGAAGGCGGGUCGCUGGGCCAACACUGACGCUGAGGCGCGAAAGCUAGGGUAGCAAACGGG
rnacentral:rRNA from 1 species